rnacentral:rRNA from 1 species
GACGAACGCUGGCGGCGUGCCUAAUACAUGCAAGUUGAGCGCUGAAGGUUGGUACUUGUACCAACUGGAUGAGCAGCGAACGGGUGAGUAACGCGUGGGGAAUCUGCCUUUGAGCGGGGGACAACAUUUGGAAACGAAUGCUAAUACCGCAUAAAAACUUUAAACACAAGUUUUAAGUUUGAAAGAUGCAAUUGCAUCACUCAAAGAUGAUCCCGCGUUGUAUUAGCUAGUUGGUGAGGUAAAGGCUCACCAAGGCGAUGAUACAUAGCCGACCUGAGAGGGGGAUCGGCCAAAUUGGGACUGGGACACGGCCCAAACUCCUACGGGAGGCAGCAGUAGGGAAUCUUCGGCAAUGGACGAAAGUCUGACCGAGCAACGCCGCGUGAGGGAAGAAGGGUUUCGGAUCGUAAAACUCUGUUGGUAGAGAAGAACGUUGGUGAGAGUGGAAAGCUCAUCAAGUGACGGUAACUACCCAGAAAGGGACGGCUAACUACGUG